AACGAACGCUGGCGGCAUGCCUAACACAUGCAAGUCGAACGAGAGCUUCGGCUCUAGUGGCGCACGGGUGCGUAACGCGUGGGAAUCUGCCCUUGGGUUCGGAAUAACAGUUGGAAACGACUGCUAAUACCGGAUGAUGACGUAAGUCCAAAGAUUUAUCGCCCUGGGAUGAGCCCGCGUCGGAUUAGCUAGUUGGUGGGGUAAAGGCCUACCAAGGCGACGAUCCGUAGCUGGUCUGAGAGGAUGAUCAGCCACACUGGGACUGAGACACGGCCCAGACUCCUACGGGAGGCAGCGGUGGGGAAUAUUGGACAAUGGGCGCAAGCCUGAUCCAGCAAUGCCGCGUGAGUGAUGAAGGCCUUAGGGUUGUAAAGCUCUUUUACCUGGGAAGAUAAUGACUGUACCGGGAGAAUAAGCCCCGGCUAACUCCGUGCCAGCAGCCGCCGCGG
rnacentral:rRNA from 1 species